UUUUUAUGGAGAGUUUGAUCCUGGCUCAGGAUGAACGCUGGCGGCGUGCCUAAUACAUGCAAGUCGAGCGAACAGACGAGGAGCUUGCUCCUCUGACGUUAGCGGCGGACGGGUGAGUAACACGUGGAUAACCUACCUAUAAGACUGGGAUAACUUCGGGAAACCGGAGCUAAUACCGGAUAAUAUAUUGAACCGCAUGGUUCAAUAGUGAAAGACGGUUUUGCUGUCACUUAUAGAUGGAUCCGCGCCGCAUUAGCUAGUUGGUAAGGUAACGGCUUACC
rnacentral:rRNA from 1 species